AAUUAUUAAAAGCCAAUAUUAAAUGGCAACUCACUGUUAAUGAGUAAAAGAAGGACCCCUUCUUAAACAUUAC
rnacentral:tRNA from 1 species